AACAGGUCCUCAACACCGAGCUGAACGACAAGUAUAAAACGGUGGAAGAUCUCAUCGCCAAGAAGACAGAAGAGUCGGCUGAUGCUAGGAGGAAAGCUGGCAUGUUGCAAGAUGAAGCUAAAGCCUUGUUGGCUCAAGCAAACAGCAAACUCCAGCUGCUCAAAGACUUGGAAAAUACAUAUGAAAACAAUCAGAAAGUUCUGGAAGACAAAGCCAAGCAGUUGGUGGAGCUGGAAGAGACAGUUCGCUCCCUCUUACAGACAAUCAGCCAGAAGGUUGCUGUUUAUAGCACUUGCUUAUAAAUGGGAGCAGGAGAUGCUUGUGUUCAGGAUGGGUUUUACAAGUAUUACACUAGUUCUUUUUGAUAUUAUGCUAAGACCUGACAAUGUGAGCAGGUUUUAUAUUGACUUUAAAAUCACAGAACCAAAGACAAGUAACUUUUUGAUGUUGAAAAUAAACAGUACUUUUGUAUCACUGUAUGUACCUAGUAUGACUCAUUAAGUUCCUUCCUAUUUUCAGUAGGUAAAAUGCUACAUCAGCUAAUCCUUUAGCAAGUCUUGUUUUUAAACUCGUCAGAGAUCUAAUAAAAUCUUGGCUCCAACUACGUAA